GACGAACGCUGGCGGCGUGCUUAACACAUGCAAGUCGAACGGAAAGGCCCUGCUUUUGUGGGGUGCUCGAGUGGCGAACGGGUGAGUAACACGUGAGUAACCUGCCCUUGACUUUGGGAUAACUUCAGGAAACUGGGGCUAAUACCGGAUAGGAGCUCCUGCUGCAUGGUGGGGGUUGGAAAGUUUCGGCGGUUGGGGAUGGACUCGCGGCUUAUCAGCUUGUUGGUGGGGUAGUGGCUUACCAAGGCUUUGACGGGUAGCCGGCCUGAGAGGGUGACCGGCCACAUUGGGACUGAGAUACGGCCCAGACUCCUACGGGAGGCAGCGGUGGGGAAUAUUGCACAAUGGGCGGAAGCCUGAUGCAGCAACGCCGCGUGCGGGAUGACGGCCCUCGGGUUGUAAACCGCUUUCGCCUGUGACGAAGCGUGAGUGACGGUAAUGGGUAAAGAAGCACCGGCUAACUACGUG
rnacentral:rRNA from 1 species